UACGAAGGGGGCUAGCGUUGCUCGGAAUUACUGGGCGUAAAGCGCAUGUAGGCGGCGAUUCAAGUUAGAGGUGAAAGCCCGGAGCUCAACUCCGGAACUGCCUUUAAGACUGCAUCGCUUGAAUCCAGGAGAGGUGAGUGGAAUUCCGAGUGUAGAGGUGAAAUUCGUAGAUAUUCGGAAGAACACCAGUGGCGAAGGCGGCUCACUGGACUGGUAUUGACGCUGAGGUGCGAAAGCGUGGGGAGCAAACAGG
rnacentral:rRNA from 1 species